AAGGAGGUGUGGAAAAGUGGAUUGAGAA
rnacentral:piRNA from 1 species